rnacentral:rRNA from 1 species
GAUGAACGCUAGCGGCAGGCUUAACACAUGCAAGUCGAGGGGUAUUGGUUUUCGGACCAAGAGACCGGCGCACGGGUGCGUAACGCGUAUGCAAUCACCUUUUGCAGAGGGAUAGCCCAGAGAAAUUUGGAUUAAUACCCUCAUAGUAUAGUACUUUGGCAUCAAGGAACUAUUAAAGUCACAACGGCAAAAGAUGAGCAUGCGUCCCAUUAGCUAGUUGGUAAGGUAACGGCUUACCAAGGCUACGAUGGGUAGGGGUCCUGAGAGGGAGAUCCCCCCACACUGGUACUGAGACACGGACCAGACUCCUACGGGAGGCAGCAGUGAGGAAUAUUGGACCAAUGGGGCGUAAGCCUGAUCCAGCCAUGCCGCGUGCAGGAUUGACGGUCCUAUGGAUUGUAAACUGCUUUUAAUACAGGAAGAAACACUACUUCGUGAAGUAGCUUGACGGUACUGUAAGAAUAAGGA